GCUAGUUGGCUGCUAAAGUUCUUGAUGAAGUGCCUGUAGAAAGUAGCUAGUCUAUGGAAGCUUUGAACUUCUGUAAAAGACAUUGGUGUAGGCCACUCCACUAUGGCCCGUACCUUUUCCUUGUCUACCUAAACUCCAUCUGAACUCAUUUCGUUGUUUCUCGAUAACUUGUUAUUGAGCCAAAAAGGCACCUCUCCUCGAUAAAAAAUGAGCCCUUCCUCAAGGGCUCAUUUUCUUCUCACCUGUUGAAACUCCUCUGCUAGAUUCGUCUGCUACCUCUAGCAAGAUUCGCCCUUCCUCAGCCUCGUGAUCACUGAGCUACAUCCUGUGAACCCUAUGGGAGAUUCGCCCUUCUUGCAGAGAUUUGUUGUUCCCACUGAUCACUGACCUAUAUGCGUGAAAGAGUGGGUUUUUACCUCACCCUUGAAGAGUAUACAAAAGUCGCAAAAUCAGAUGACUUCUACCCCAGAUCAUUCUUCAUAAUCGAUCACUGAAACUCAGGUUGUUUAGUUGAAGGUUCGGCUCCUCCAUCCACAAGUUGUUCUCUCCUCUGCAAGGUAGGAUCUGAGGUCUCCCCCAUUUUUCUGAAACCCGAGAAAAUUUUUGUUCGAAAUGUCUACGAUCUGCUUCAACUCUGUGUUUUGAUGCAACAUCCAAGAAAGUUCAUGCUAUUAUUUACCUCCAUCGAGCUUUAUUCUUUAAUUCGAUAGCAGCAAUAGUGUGUGGAUCGGCUAAAAGGGAGAAAUCAAGAGGAUUUUUCGUAUCAUCGCUUACUUAGGAAACUGACUGAGAAUCAGCAUCUUAUGUAUUGACUUCUACACUGAUGAUAUCCCGGAGAAGCAACCGCAGUCAUUUAUUUGGGUGGAUGAUUACAGAGUGGGAAUUGACCAUGGAGUUCAGAUGUAUUAACCUUUGUUAGGUUUUGGGGUGACUACACGUUACUUUUUUAUUUUUAGGGUGAGAAAUGCUACCCGAUAGUGCUUGUAUACACCAAUGCCUGCGGUGAAUGGGAGGGUGCAUGCGAGCAUCUACAAAGCAGGGGAAAGUAGUCUUUUGACACCCAUUGUAUCUUGUUGCAAGAACACACUAUCGUGUAAUGUUCAUUCUUCCUUAUUUUUAUUGAUGCACAA